rnacentral:rRNA from 1 species
CAGCCGCCGCGGUAAUACGAGGGGGGCAAGCGUUGUUCGGAAUUAUUGGGCGUAAAGGGUGCGUAGGCGGUUUGACAAGUCAUCUGUGAAAUCUAUGGGCUCAACCCAUAGUCUGCAGGCGAAACUGUCGGGCUUGAGUAUUGGAGAGGUGAGUGGAAUUUCCGGUGUAGCGGUGAAAUGCGUAGAUAUCGGAAGGAACACCUGUGGCGAAAGCGGCUCACUGGACAAUAACUGACGCUGAUGCACGAAAGCUAGGGGAGCAAACAGGAUUAGAUACCCCCGUAGUCCCUGUCUCUUAUAC